rnacentral:rRNA from 1 species
UACGAAGGGGGCUAGCGUUGUUCGGAAUCACUGGGCGUAAAGGGCGCGUAGGCGGCCGAUCAAGUCGGGGGUGAAAGCCCGAGGCUCAACCUCGGAACUGCCUUCGAUACUGCGGGUCUCGAGUCCGGGAGAGGUGAGUGGAAUUCCUAGUGUAGAGGUGAAAUUCGUAGAUAUUAGGAAGAACACCAGUGGCGAAGGCGGCUCACUGGCCCGGUACUGACGCUGAGGCGCGAAAGCGUGGGGAGCAAACAGG